rnacentral:rRNA from 1 species
GAUGAACGCUGGCGGCGUGCCUAAUACAUGCAAGUCGAGCGAACGGACGAGAAGCUUGCUUCUCUGAUGUUAGCGGCGGACGGGUGAGUAACACGUGGAUAACCUACCUAUAAGACUGGGAUAACUCCGGGAAACCGGAGCUAAUACCGGAUAAUAUUUUGAACCGCAUUGUUCAAAAGUGAAAGACGGUCUUGCUGUCACGUAUAGAUGGAUCCGCGCUGCAUUAGCUAGUUGGUAAGGUAACGGCUUACCAAGGCAACGAUGCAUAGCCGACCUGAGAGGGUGAUCGGCCACACUGGAACUGAGACACGGUCCAGACUCCUACGGGAGGCAGCAGUAGGGAAUCUUCCGCAAUGGGCGAAAGCCUGACGGAGCAACGCCGCGUGAGUGAUGACGGUCUUCGGAUCGUAAAACUCUGUUAUUAGGGAAGAACAUAUGUGUAAGUAACUGUUCACAUAUUGACGGUACCUAAUCAGAAAGCCACGGCUAACUACGUG